CUGUGGGGAUGGGGAUGUGGUUUCCAGGCCAAUGGAGUUAUGUCACCAGGAAGGUUAUGACUGCCUCUGCUGUGUCACACAGGUCAUGAGGGAAGUGAGGGAAAAUCAGCAGACAGGGGCCUCACCCAACUCCCACAUAGCCCACAGCCUGAAAAGCUGGUCUUUCUCCCACUGUGGCCCCUCAACAGCACUGAGUUUAUUUCCAGGCAGCCAGUGAGCAAGGCUGAGAACUUGCCCCAGGCUACCGGACUCCCAGCUGAGAAAGCAAGCCGACUCAACAGUUCCUCAGCUGUCCCACAGAGCCUGAAGCAGCAAUCCACCUACUUCAAAGGGUCUAUGGAUUCUCUCAGCUUUCCUGGCAUGUUCCUGUGGUGGAAAAUGCAAUCUGGAGUGUUCCUGGGGAGCUCUGCUGUGUAAACCUUGGCUUUACAGUGAGAAGACGGGCUGAUCACAGAUGUGAACCGUCAGGUAACCAGGGCUGCAGUGAGAGCCACAGAUUUCAUGGGAAGUGGAAGAGGAGAUGGAAAGAGAGUCUUGCUGUGUCACCCAGGCUGGAAUGCAGUGUCACGAUCUCAGCUCCCUGCAACCUCUGCUUCCUGGGUUCAAGCGAUUCUCCUGCCUCAGUCUCCUGAGUAGCUGGGAUCACAGCCUCUGGGGAGCUAUAGUUUACCCACAGCCAGAACAUUUCCCGGUUUGACUGUUCUCUUGGGUUCAAGGCUGGGUGAGAGGGGAGUCCUCAUCAAGUCCACAACAUGAGUUCCUGCUACAAAACCAGAACCCCCAGGGCGCAGCCUUGGGUAUGGACUCUGCAUCCUCGGAGAUCCGGUCUGCUGUUGCUACCAACCCAUAAGCGACAGCCAAUUGAUUGAUCAGUGAAGCCUUCCAGGAAGUUCUCCAGCCAAUGCUGCCCAGUCCUCUUUCAGAGAUAAAACCUAACGAGGAUUGAAAGAUGGUUAGCAUGUAGUGUGAGGAAAUUCCCAGAAUGUUAAUGGCUCCUAAUAGCAAUAAGUUUCCAGAGAAAGCCCAUAGACUGGACAAGCAUUUAUGUGUUCCUAAACUUGG
rnacentral:lncRNA from 1 species